UGCUGGCUUCGGCAGCACAUAUACUAAAAAUUGGAAUGAUACGGAGAAGAUUAGCAUGGCCCCUGCACAAGAAUGACACACAAAUUCAUGAAGUGUUCCAUAUUAAA
rnacentral:snRNA from 2 species